GACGAACGCUGGCGGCGUGGAUUAGGCAUGCAAGUCGAACGGUAUCAUCCUUUCGGGGGUGAGAGAGUGGCGAACUGGUGAGUAACACGUAGGUUAUCUACCCUCAAGACGGGGACAACCCAGGGAAACUUGGGCUAAUACCGGAUGUGAGCAACUUUUAGUUGUUUGAAAGGUGGCGUAAGCUGUCGCUUGGGGAUGAGCCUGCGUCCUAUUAGUUAGUUGGUGAGGUAACGGCUCACCUAGGCAAUGAUAGGUAGGCGGCCUUAACGGGUGGUCGCCCACACUGGGAUUGAGAUACGGCCCAGACUCCUACGGGAGGCAGCAGUCGAGAAUAGUCUACAAUGGUCGGAAGACUGAUAGUGCGACGCCGCGUGAACGAUGAAUCCCUUCGGGGUGUAAAGUUCUUUUAUAUGUGAGCAGUGCUUCUUAUAUUUAACAGUAAUGGGGGAGUAGAGAUAUUAGCAUAUGAAUAAGCAAACGGCUAAACUCCGUGCCAGCCAGCCGCGGUAAACUCGU
rnacentral:rRNA from 1 species